rnacentral:rRNA from 1 species
AAUGAACGUUGGCGGCAUGGAUUAGGCAUGCAAGUCGAGCGAGAAGUGUAGCAAUACACGGAAAGCGGCGGAAGGGAGAGUAAUACGCGGGAAUCUGCCCUUAGACCUGGGAUAGCAGCGGGAAACUGCUGGUAAUACCAGAUAAUGUCUAUGGACCAAAGGUGUGAUUCCGUCUAGGGAUGAGCCCACGUCCUAUUAGCUAGUUGGUAGGGUAAUGGCCUACCAAGGCGAUGAUGGGUAGCGGGUGUGAGAGCAUGACCCGCCUCACUGGGACUGAGACAUUGCCCAGACACCUACGGGUGGCUGCAGUCGAGAAUCUUCGGCAAUGGGCGCAAGCCUGACCGAGCGAUGCCGCGUGCGGGAUGAAGGCCUUCGGGUUGUAAACCGCUGUCGAGGGGGAGCAACUUCCAUAGAGUUAUCUUUAUGGAUUGAGUGAUCCCUGGAGGAAGGGCGGGCUAAGUUCGUGCCAGCCGCCGCCGUAACAC